rnacentral:lncRNA from 1 species
AGUUAACCUUUGUCAAAUGGAACUCAAACUUCAUGUACAACCACAUAAACUAUUUAAGGCACGAAUAUAAAUUGAAAACAAAUUUGGAAAAUUUCGUUACCUUAUUCUCCAAAACAGAUUUGGACAAAUUCGAGGAUUUUACACAAGGUAAAUCAAGAGAAUAACAAAUCACGCUUCUUUUCGUAAUGACUUUAUCAACCACAAUCGAAGAGUAAUAAUUAAUCGGAUCAAAAUGAGGGGAUCUUUUAAGAACUAAGUCACCAAAAGUUUUAUCAAUAAUUUUCAAAUCUGCACUGGACUCGGUUUCUAAAAUUUCCUUACCUCGCUUACCUUUGGGAUCAUGUAGUGUGAUUUUAUCUUUGCCUAAGUUGAUCGUAUGAAAGCGUCUUUCAUUUGAGAGGUAUUGAAGUUGAAAGUUAUCUUUCGAUCUUUCGGGAACCUGAAAAAUAGCAACACAAGAAAAAUUCAUAUCUUGGUUAGUGGAAACAUUCCUCACUACCCUUUCCACGUCUUUUUCUUUUGUUUCUUUUUCUAAUUCAUUUUCUCUUCUUUCUUCAAUUUCUUUUUCACUCUCAAUCUCUUUUUGCUCUUUUUCAUUCUCUUUUUCUUUUUCCUCACUUGUUUUAACAGAAUUUUUCAGUUUGAUUUGGUCCUCAUGGACUUGUUCCAGAGUGAGCGGCACUAAGGUGAGUUUCUUUCCUUGAUGCUUGAAAGAAUACCUAUUGGUACGACCAUCGUGAGUGACUUUUCGAUCCAGUUGCCACGGUUCUCCUAGCAACAAAUGGCAGGCUUGAAUAGGCAUUACGUCGCACACAACUUCGUCUUGAUACUUACCGAUAGAAAAGGCGAUGCGCACUUGUUGAGUGACCCUAAAUUGGCCUUCGUUGCUAAGCCCUUGUAGUUGAUAAGGUUGUGGAUGCUUGGUAGUGGUUAAGCAAAGUUUUUCCACCAUCGUCGUGCUGGCUAUGUUCGAGCAACUUUCACCAUCAAUAAUAACUCUACAAAGCUUACCUUGUACGUGGCAGCGAGUAUGAAAGAGAUGUUCUCGUUGCUGCUCGCUCUUUGGUUUUGCCAAAGAUGAUUGUCCAUGAUCAUGACAAUCAUCAUCCAUUCUAGGGACACGUUGAGGGUUGCACCUAUGGGGCUGGUUAUCCCUAUCUUCCUUAAUUGGAUCUCGAUAUUGAUGUUUUUGAUUCACUCGUACCUCAUUCAAAGUAGUAUUCAAUGCUUGAAGUGUAGCAUUUAUUUGUGUGAUUGCAGCAGUAUGUCUGUCUAACGGUUGUUGGACUUUCAUAAGUGCAUCAUUAUUAUCACCUUUAGACUUCUUCAAAACCUGUAAAAAAUAAACACUCAACACUCAAAAAUAAAAGUUAGCAAACCUCACCAUUAAUCACUCAAAAAGAAAAAUCAAAUUCUCAAUGAGGUCGAAUUCAAUCUUGUGAGUUCUUUAUCAGAGUUUAUAUCAACCAAUUAGAGAGUGUGAACCAAACUACCAAAGAAUCCUAAUUUGCACUAGGAUGCCAAAAACUGACCAGACACCAAGUGAUUCGUGUUGCACCGAGGAAGGAUUGUGCACACGUUUAAAUCCUACUAACACAAGAAACAAGAAGGUGUUAGAUAUUUUAAAAGGAUAAUAAAAAGCAAACAAAUGAAAACCUACAGCUAAGAAUCAAUAAAAAUUGCUGAAAACAGAAAACCCGAAAAACUGUGGAGUAACUUGACAACUUCGUUCGAGGUGUUCCCGAUCUCAAAAAAUCACAAAAUUAAAUCUGGAAUGUCUUCAAAUAUUGAAUUUUUGAUCUGGAAAAUUUGGAUUUCGUCUUUUUUCAAUUUUUUGACUUUUUUGACUUAUUUUUUUGCGGGAAAUAUUUUUGUAUAUUCAAUAACAGUGCAAAAAUAUGUAUGUAAAAUUUCAGAUCAAUCAGAAAAUGUUUACCCACUCAAAUGAAUUUUUUUCGAAAAUUUUUCUGGGUAAAACUGCUGUUUGUAAUUUAAAAAAUAGAGAUCAGUUUAGAAAUCAACCAAGAACACCCAAAACGCCCAAAAUCUGAUACCAAAUGAUACGGGGUUGGGCGCGGACCAAGAUCGAGUUGCCAAGUCACGAGAAACUCCUACGAAAACCCUAAACAAUUAGAUCUGAAACGAAACAGAAAAUUAAAAGAUUAGAUUUUUGAAUUUUCAGAUCUGAAAUAAAAUCCCCAAAUCAGCAAAGAAUCAAAUUGAGAAUAGAAAUAAGUGUUAAUAAGGAAUCUUGAAACCCUAGAAGAGAUUGCGAUUCUGCCCAAUUGAACACCCAGAUAGUUUUCCCCAAAUUUCGGCAAUCUAAUUUCUCCCAAAAAAGAGUAUGGAUGAAUCGGCAAGAACCCUAGAAAUUGAGGAUUUUUGGGCUAAUUCCUUAAGAUAGAAAAAGGCUGAAAACACAAUAAGAACAGAAAAUAAAUUAGAUAAAGAUUCGGCACAAGCAGAAAUAAAGAAGAAUUGACAGUAAGAAAUUAAAAGAUAAGUCCUAAGAAGCCUUGAAAUCUCGAAAGAUCUCACAACUCCCUUCAAACGGCUCUAAUCUCCCCUCCAAAGAAUAUCAAUGGCAAGAAGAAGGUUGAAGAUGGCUCCCACAAUCACAAGAUUGUUAAAACAACUUCUAAAGAAAACUCAAGAGAGAAAUCUUGGAGAAAACUCAAAGAAAAUUCUGCUCUCAACAAAUCUGAAAUUUUAAUAAUAAUGAUAAGUGUUUAACAAGGUGGACAGCCAUGCCUUUAAAUAGGCCUUAUAACUAGUCCUAAUCUAAUUAGAAAAUUAAAAUAAAAAAACUCCUAAUUAUUUUAAUAUGGAAAUUUGGUCAAAGGUCAUUUUAUCUAGGACUCUUGGACUGAAUAUUGACAUAAAAAUUUAAACUAAGUAAAUAAAUAAAUAAAUAAAAAUAAAAAUAAAACUUUACAACUUGGGCCACUUUGACAAUUUGGCCUGAUUUUCAACUAAGUAUGGAUGGAUUUCUUGAUUGGGCUGGGAAUUUGCUUAUUGGGCCUCGCCUUCAAGAAUUUGGGCUUUUGUGACUCGUAUCAUCGACGCUACCGAGAUUGUUCCAAACUCGAGGGGCCCAAGUGCAAAAUGAAGUUUUUAAUUUUAGUUUGUCAAUUUGGCUGCUGGAAAAUAAGGACUUUGAUUCAUUAAUUUUUAGUUAUUUUAGUUUGUGUUUUUAAUUAUGUCAUAGUUUGCACAUCAUUAAUAUGUGUUCUGCAUUUAAUAAAGUCAUGCAUUAUGUAACUUUCAUGUUAGUUAAGUUUGCAUCAUUAAAUUAAGUCAAGUUAGUUUAAUUAUGUAACUUUCAUGUUAGUUAAAUUUGCAUUUCAAAACCAUGCAUUUAAGCAUCUUAGUUUAAUAAAUGAGUUGCUGGACAUUUAUUCAACUUAUCUUAGUUUUAAUUAAUAAGUGUUUUUGUUGAACUUUAUUUAAUAAGUGUUGUUCUUAAUUGAUCUAGUUCCUAGGAUUAUUUAUUGAUGCAUAAAUUAAGUAUUUUUUAAAUUAUGCUUCUUUAAUUAAACUAGUUGCUGGAAUAAUUAUUGCAUAUAUGUUUUAGUUCAUUUAUUUAAGUAAGUUUAAUGUUUGUUAUGAUUAAUAAGUGUUUUUAUUUGUUUAAUAAACUCAUUUUAAUGUGUUUAUUGCAGGUGACUUUUUAGCUUAUAGUGGUUACAAUUCAAGGCUGUUACACAUUUAAUUAAGUGGCUAUUCAAGUUCUUUUGAGUUACAAUUAAAGGGGCUGUUAUAAAGGGAGCUUAAAAUCAUUAAAGGAGUUUUUAAAGAGCUUUUUAUGCCCUUUAAAAUUCAGCAGCAACUCUUCCACUUCCAGCCGUUUUUGGAGCUUUGAAGAGAAAUUAAUCAAGCCUUUGAAUGUCAUUAAGGAGCUGGUUAAGAGAUGGUGUCUAUUCAACUCAUUGCUAUCAUUUUCCUCAACCCGUUCCACCAUUGCUAAAAUAGCAUCUUUGAAUCGUUUAGCUCUAGCUCGCGUUAUUGGACCAAUGGGCAGCUUAAUGGCUUCUUGUUCGUUCUCCAUUUGGUUCGUAGGCAAGCUCACAUCAUUCCCCUCCUCUUCAGAACGAUUUGCCCUCAAAUCAGAAUCUGCAUCAAACGGAGACAAAUCAGAAACGUUAAAAGUCGCGCUAACAUUAUAUUCACCAGGCAAGUCCAAUUUAUAGGAGUUAUCGUUAAUUCGCUCAAGGACUUGUGAUACGAGUCACAAAAGCCCAAAUUCUUGAAGGCGAGGCCCAAUAAGCAAAUUCCCAGCCCAAUCAAGAAAUCCAUCCAUACUUAGUUGAAAAUCAGGCCAAAUUGUCAAAGUGGCCCAAGUUGUAAAGUUUUAUUUUUAUUUUUAUUUAUUUAUUUACUUAGUUUAAAUUUUUAUGUCAAUAUUCAGUCCAAGAGUCCUAGAUAAAAUGACCUUUGACCAAAUUUCCAUAUUAAAAUAAUUAGGAGUUUUUUUUAUUUUAGUUUUCUAAUUAGAUUAGGACUAGUUAUAAGGCCUAUUUAAAGGCAUGGCUGUCCACCUUGUUAAACACUUAUCAUUAUUAUUAAAAUUUCAGAUUUGUUGAGAGCAGAAUUUUCUUUGAGUUUUCUCCAAGAUUUCUCUCUUGAGUUUUCUUUAGAAGUUGUUUUAACAAUCUUGUGAUUGUGGGAGCCAUCUUCAACCUUCUUCUUGCCAUUGAUAUUCUUUGGAGGGGAGAUUAGAGCCGUUUGAAGGGAGUUGUGAGAUCUUUCGAGAUUUCAAGGCUUCUUAGGACUUAUCUUUUAAUUUCUUACUGUCAAUUCUUUCUUUAUUUCUACUUGUGCUGAAUCAUUAUCUAAUCUAUUUUCUGUUCUUAUUGUGUUUUCAGCCUUUUUCUAUCUUAAGGAAUCAGCCCAAAAAUCCCCAAUUUCUAGGGUUCUUGCCGAUUCAUCCAUACUCUUUUUGGGAGAAAUUAGAUUGCCGAAAUUUGGGGAAAACUAUCUGGGUGUUCAAUUGGGCAGAAUCGCAAUCUCUUCUAGGGUUUCAAGAUUCCUUAUUAACACUUAUUUCUAUUCUCAAUUUGAUUCUUUACUGUUUUGGGGAUUUUAUUUCAGAUUUGAAAAUUCAAAAAUCUAAUCUUUUAAUUUUCUGUUUCGUUUCAGAUCUAAUUGUUUAGGGUUUACGUAGGAGUUUCUCGUGACUUGGCAACUCGAUCUUGGUCCGCGCGUAACCCCGUAUCAGUCGAGUUGUGUCGUAACAUGAUGCGACUGGGAUCGCAUCACCAAGCCAUCAUAUUCCACUAUUUAUGGGCUAAUUACCAUAUAAGGACCUUCACAUUAAAGUUCUAUAGCUAUUAGACACCUUUAGCUAUUAGAACCCUAUUUUUUCAUUUUGCGUGAUUUAAUCCUUUUUAUCGAAUUACGUAUGCAAACGAUAAAAUUUCUUAACGAAAUUUUUAUAUGACUCUACUUACAUGCUAUAAACAUUAAAAUUUUAAUAAAAAAAUAUUUUGACUUCAGAUUUUGUUGUCUUGAAACCACUAUUCUGAUUUCAUCGAAAAUGAGCUGUUACAACUCGCCUCCUUUGGAAUUUUCAUCCCCAAAAAUCUUACCAAAGAAUAGGUUAGGGUACUAUUUUCUCCUUAGCUUUCUUGGGUUCCCAUGUAUCCUCUUCAAUCCCGUGUCAUUGCCAAAGAACCUUCACUAAAGCUAUGCUCUUGUUUCUUAACUCUUUAAUCUCUCGAGCCAAAAUUCUGAUCGGUUCUUCGUUAUACGACAUGUCGAGCUGAAUUUGAACUUCUGCCGGAGAAAUUAUAUGCGAAGGCUCUAAUCUGUACCAUUGUAAGAUAUAUACAUGAAAACACAUUAUGAAUAUUCUCAUGUUCUGAUGGUAAUUCAAGUCGAUAAGCCACUGGCCCUAUUCUUUCAAUAAUUUCAUACGUCUCAAUAAAUCGUGGACUCAACUUGAUGUGAUCCGGCUCGGUUGAUUGAGUCGAUUCACUUGAUUGCCCGAUCGUCGACGAGAAGUUUGUUCGAUUUUGUAGAUAGAUGGAGUUAGAUGAUUUUUAUAAGCGGAAGGUAGGCAAAAUGGGUUCAAAGGAUGGGUUUUGGUUUGAUGAAAGAUAGGUUCGGUUUAACAAAGAAUUAAGUUACAAAGAUGAUAGAUAAAUGGAAAUGGAUAAAGAACUCAAACUUUAAGAAUGAUUCAAUACUAAAAAGUAUUGCCCCGAGUCUUAUAUUGCUUAAGGUGAAUUUUGAUGAAGGAUAGAAGCGGACCUUGACCCGUUACCUAUAUGGAGGUAAGAACCAAAGGUAUAGGAAGAUGGUUGAACGCCACACCGAUUCGGUGAUAAGUUCAAUGGAGUUCGGAUUGACACCAUUAGCAAGCUAGAUAAGUCGCUUCGAGACUCGAACGAAAGAAGAGAGGAGGUAACCUCACAAGAACAAAAGUUCUAUUAAGUUUAAUUGAUCAAAUUCUAUAACCUUUUUACAAAGAGAAAAGAACUAUUUAUAGAUUACAUUAGAUAGCCAAAUAGACUAAGUAAAUUCGGCUUUAAUUGAAUUAAACUAAUCUAGAAAUGUAUCUUUAAAGGCUAUGUCCAAAUUCAGCUGAAUGGUACUUCAAUGGGCAGCUUCAUGGCUAAGGAAAUGAACUUGAAGGCUUGGUGAAUGUAUGGGAGAGCAAUGGACAUGUCUAGGUUCGGCCAAGGUGUGAAUGGACACUCCAAGAGAUGCCUUUUGGCCGAAUAGGUACUUAGGAGAUCAAUGGACAGCAACCGAUGCAUGUAAGUGAACAUUCAUGCAUUCUUCCAUUCAUUUUUUUAAAUCAUUCAUGCAUCAUCCUUACGUUCAUUGAACCAGCCCAUUCAUGAAUCAUCUUUAAUUGUGUUCCCACAUCAUGCAUUGUAAGUAGACGUUCAUGCACCUAGCUUGAAUAUUCACAUUCGGCUGUACCUACAUGAAACAUGAACAAAUUAAUUAAAAUAGAUAUAUUAAUUAACACAUAAAUUUAAAAUAGAAAAAAAUAAAGUCUUAAGCUAAACAUAUUAAAUUCGGCUAAGACAACUUUAAAAACAUGAAAUAAAUCAAAACAUAAUUAUGAGCUGUAAUAACUUAAACUAAGUUAAUAAAAUACUUUAAUUAUUCAACCAAUAAAAUAACUGAGCUGAAUUGUAGCUAAAUUGAGCUCGAUUGAGCUGAAAUGAGCUCAAUUGAGCUGGUCAGAGUUGAAACGAGCUAGAAAAGCUAAAAUGGAGCUGAAAUUAGCUUGCACUAAGGUGCAUGGUUUCUCAAGGAGUUGGAUCGAGCUUCCUCAUCUUCAACAAGCUGAUUCUCCUUCCAAAACUUGAACAACAAAGCUGAAACAACUUCAUGAAAUCGCUUGGACCUAGCUCGGGUCAUUGGUCCCUUUGGAAGCUCGAGGGAAUCAAGACGAGGACUUGAUGGGGCUUGGGGCGUGGUCACAUCACAACUUCCCUUUGCAACCAAAUCGAAUAAUCUUCUUCCACAACAAUACUUUCAAAAACACUCUGUCGCUGAUUUGAAAUUCAAUAUCUUUACGUUUCAAAUCUGCAUACGAUUUUUGUCGAUCUGAACCAACUUUUAAAAUGUCACAUAUCACUUUCACUUUCUUUUCAGUCUCUUGGAUUAAGUCAACCCCGUGAAUCUUUUUCUCACUAAGCUCGGUCCAGUAUAAUGGAAUUCUACAUUUACGACCAUAUAGAGCUUCAUACGGUGCAAUUUUUUUGCUCGAUUGAUAACUAUUAUUAUACGCGAACACAACCAAUGGCAAAUAUUUUUUCCAAUUGCCUUCAAACUCUAAAACACAGCAAUGAAGCAUAUCUUCUAGAAUUUGACUUACUCUCUUAGACUGACAAUCGGUUUGAGGAUGAAAUAUAGUGCUAAAAUGCAAUCGCGUACCCAAAGGUUCUUGUAAUUUCUUCCAAAAUCGUGAUGUAAACUGCGGAUCUCUAUUCGAAAUAAUGGAGACUAGCUGAUACGAGUCACAAAAGCCCAAAUUCUUGAAGGCGAGGCCCAAUAAGCAAAUUUCCAGCCCAAUCAAGAAAUCCAUCCAUACUUAGUUGAAAAUCAGGCCAAAUUGUCAAAGUGGCCCAAGUUGUAAAGUUUUAUUUUUAUUUUUAUUUAUUUAUUUACUUAGUUUAAAUUUUUAUGUCAAUAUUCAGUCCAAGAGUCCCAGAUAAAAUGACCUUUGACCGAAUUUCCAUAUUAAAAUAAUUAGGAGUUUUUUUAUUUUAGUUUUCUAAUUAGAUUAGGACUAGUUAUAAGGCCUAUUUAAAGGCAUGGCUGUCCACCUUGUUAAACACUUAUCAUUAUUAUUAAAAUUUUCAGAUUUGUUGAGAGCAGAAUUUUCUUUGAGUUUUCUCCAAGAUUUCUCUCUUGAGUUUUCUUUAGAAGUUGUUUUAACAAUCUUUUGAUUAUGGGAGCCAUCUUCAACCUUCUUCUUGCCAUUGAUAUUCUUUGGAGGGGAGAUUAGAGCCGUUUGAAGGGAGUUGUGAGAUCUUUCGAGAUUUCAAGGCUUCUUAGGACUUAUCUUUUAAUUUCUUACUGUCAAUUCUUUCUUUAUUUCUACUUGGGCUGAAUCAUUAUCUAAUCUAUUUUCUAUUCUUAUUGUGUUUUCAGCCUUUUUCUAUCUUAAGGAAUCAGCCCAAAAAUCCCCAAUUUCUAGGGUUUUUCUAUACUCUUUUUGGGUGAAAUUAGAUUGUCGAAAUUUGGGGAAAACUAUCUUGGUAUUCAAUUGGGCAGAAUCACAAUCUCCUUGAGGGUUUCAAGAACCCUAACACUUAUUUCUAUUCUCUAUUUGAUUCUUUACUGUUUUGGGGAUUUUAUUUCAGAUCUGAAAAUUCAAAAAUCUAAUCUUUUAAUUUUCUGUUUCAUUUCAGAUCUAAUUGUUUAGGGUUUUCGUAGGAGUUUCUCGUGACUUGGCAACUCGAUCUUGGUCCGCGCGCAACCCCGUAUCAUUUGGUAUCAGAUUUUGGGCGUUUUGGGUGUUCUUGGUUGAUUUCUAAACUGAUCUCUAUUUUUUAAAUUACAAACAGCAGUUUUACCCAGAAAAAUUUUCGAAAAAAAUUCAUUUGAGUGGGUAAACGUUUUCUGAUUGAUCUGAAAUUUUACAUACAUAUUUUUGGCAUUGUUAUUGAAUAUACAAAAAUAUUUCCCACAAAAAAAUAAGUCGAAAAAGUCAAAAAAUUGAAAAAAUACGAAAUCCAAUAAAAAAUUAAAAAAAUAUUCAGCGGGUUGAAUUUGGUGCCCAAAAUUUCCAGAUCAAAAAUUAAAUAUAUAAGGACACUCCAUAUUUAAUUUCGUGAUUUUUGGAGAUCGGGAACACCUCGAACGAAGUUGUCAAGUUACUCCGCAGUUUUUCGGGUUUUCUGUUUUCAACAAUUUUUAUUGCUUCUUAGCUGUAGGUUUUCAUUUGUUUGCUUUUUAUUCUCCCUUUACAAUAUCUAACACCUUCUUGUUUUUUGUGUUAGUAGGAUUUAAACGUGUGCCCAAUUCUUCCUCGGUGCAACACGAAUCAAUUGGUGUCUCGUCAGUUUUUGGCAUCCUAGUGCAAAUUAGGAUUCUUUGGUAGUUUGGUUCACACUCUCUAAUUGGUUGAUAUAAACUCUGAUAAAGAACUCACAAGAUUGAAUUCGACCUCAUUGAGAAUUUGAAUUUUCUUUUUGAGUGAUUAAUGGUGAGGUUUGCUAACUUUUAUUUUUGAGUGUUGAGUGUUUAUUUUUUACAGGUUUUGAAGAUGUCUAAAGGUGAUAAUAAUGAUGCACUUAUGAAAGUCCAACAACAGUUAGAUGGACAUACUGCUGCAAUCACACAAAUAAAUGCUACACUUCAAGCAUUGAAUACUACUUUGAAUGAGGUACGAGUGAAUCAAAAACAUCAAUAUCGAGAUCCAAUUAAGGAAGAUAGGGAUAACCAACCCCAAAGGCGCGGCCCUCGACGUGUCACUAGAAUGGAUGAUGAUUUUCAUGAUCGUGGACAAUCAUCUUUGGCAAAACCAAGGAGCGAGCAGCAACGAGAACAUCUCUUUCAUACUCGCUGCCAUGUACAAGGUAAGCUUUGUAGAGUUAUUAUUGAUGGUGAAAGUUGCUCGAACAUAGCCAGCACGACGAUGGUGGAAAAGCUUUGCUUAACCACUACCAAGCAUCCACAACCUUAUCAACUACAAGGGCUUAGCAACGAAGGCCAAUUUAGGGUCACUCAACAAGUGCGCAUUGCCUUUUCUAUCGGUAAGUAUCAAGACGAAGUUGUGUGCGACGUAAUGCCUAUUCAAGCCUGCCAUUUGUUGCUAGGAGAACCAUGGCAACUGGAUCAAAAAGUCACUCACGAUGGUCGUACCAAUAGGUAUUCUUUCAAGCAUCAAGGAAAGAAACUUACCUUAGUGCCGCUCACUCCGGAACAAGUCCAUGAGGACCAAAUCAAACUGAGAAAUUCUGUUAAAACAAGUGAGGAAAAAGAAAAAGAGAAUGAAAAAGAGCAAAAAGAGAUUGAGAGUGAAAAGGAAUGUGAAACAGAAAAGAAAAUUGAAAAAGAAGUUGAAGAAAGAAGAGAAAAUGAGUUAGAAAAAGAAACAAAAGAAAAAGACGAGGAAAGGCUAGUGAGGAAUGUUUCCACUAACCAAGAUAUGAAUUUUUCUUGUGUUGCUACUUUUCAGGUUCCCGAAAGAUCGAAAGAUAACUUUCAACUUCAAUACCUCUCAAAUGAAAGACGCUUUCAUACGAUCAACUUAAGCAAAGAUGAAAUCACACUACAUGAUCUCGAAGGUAAGCGAGGUAAGGAAAUUUUAGAAACCGAGUCCAGUGCAGAUUUGAAAAUUAUUGAUAAAACUUUUGGUGACUUAGUUCUUAAAAGAUCCCAUCAUUUUGAUCCGAUUAAUUGUUACUCUUCGAUUGUGGUUGAUAAAGUCAUUACGAAAAGAAGCGUGAUUUGUUAUUCUCUUGAUUUACCUUGUGUAAAAUCCUUGAAUUUGUCCAAAUCUGUUUUGGAGAAUAAGGUAACGAAAUUUGCCAAAUUUGUUUUCAAUUUAUAUUCUUGCCUUAAACAGUUUAUCUGGUUGUACAUGAAGUUUGAGUUCCAUUUGACAAAGGUUAACUCAACAACGGAGAUUCGACUACACUAUGCCCCCGAUGAACGAAGGUUUGUUUUAAAUGAAAAAGGUAAAAUCGACCCUUAUUCUUUUGCUUAUCGAGGUAAGAUGCUUGAAACCUUUGAAACACUUUUGUACUCCUCGGAUAGUGAUAAAGAUCGUGUUGAUGAACACUUAGAUCGAAACAUGCUUGACUGUCCUAUUUUAUUUAUUGAUGAUCUAUCUGUUUUGAUGGUUGAUAAAAAGAUUCUUGUUUUUGAUAAUGCAUGUGUGAGUGAAUCUAUAGACCGUCGAUUAAUGCAUGGUAUGAUUAUGCAACUCUGUGAACCAUGUAAAUCUUUUCAAAUACCUACUUGUGACGAUUAUGUUUACCAUUUGAUUUAUUCCUCGCAAUUUAUUCAUGGUUUGUGGGAACAGUGUGAGACGACUGAAUGCCUUAAAACAUGUCCAUCUUUGUUUCAAAUAUUUGACGAGGCAGUGGUGAGUAAAUUAGAUUGUUUGCAUGGUAAUCUGAAUCUGUCCAUUCACAUGAGUUAUACCUGUUCUGUUAUGCUUAUGAUUGGACUACAAGCUUGUUUCCGUUGCUAUUUACUAUCUCAUGGCUAUUCUUUUCAGUGGACUCAAUUGCCAUUAGUCCCGUUCGAUAGAGGAAAGUCGAGUUCAUUUGAUUUUUCAGAUUCGAGGACGAAUCUUUUUGAGGAAGGGGGGAAUGAUACGAGUCACAAAAGCCCAAAUUCUUGAAGGCGAGGCCCAAUAAGCAAAUUUCCAGCCCAAUCAAGAAAUCCAUCCAUACUUAGUUGAAAAUCAGGCCAAAUUGUCAAAGUGGCCCAAGUUGUAAAGUUUUAUUUUUAUUUUUAUUUAUUUAUUUACUUAGUUUAAAUUUUUAUGUCAAUAUUCAGUCCAAGAGUCCCAGAUAAAAUGACCUUUGACCGAAUUUCCAUAUUAAAAUAAUUAGGAGUUUUUUUUAUUUUAGUUUUCUAAUUAGAUUAGGACUAGUUAUAAGGCCUAUUUAAAGGCAUGGCUGUCCACCUUGUUAAACACUUAUCAUUAUUAUUAAAAUUUCAGAUUUGUUGAGAGCAGAAUUUUCUUUGAGUUUUCUCCAAGAUUUCUCUCUUGAGUUUUCUUUAGAAGUUGUUUUAACAAUCUUUUGAUUAUGGGAGCCAUCUUCAACCUUCUUCUUGCCAUUGAUAUUCUUUGGAGGGGAGAUUAGAGCCGUUUGAAGGGAGUUGUGAGAUCUUUCGAGAUUUCAAGGCUUCUUAGGACUUAUCUUUUAAUUUCUUACUGUCAAUUCUUUCUUUAUUUCUACUUGUGCUGAAUCAUUAUCUAAUCUAUUUUCUGUUCUUAUUGUGUUUUCAGCCUUUUUCUAUCUUAAGGAAUCAGCCCAAAAAUCCCCAAUUUCUAGGGUUUUUCUAUACUCUUUUUGGGUGAAAUUAGAUUGUCGAAAUUUGGGGAAAACUUCUUGGUGUUCAAUUGGGCAGAAUCACAAUCUCCUUGAGGGUUUCAAGAACCCUAACACUUAUUUCUAUUCUCUAUUUGAUUCUUUACUGUUUUGGGGAUUUUAUUUCAGAUCUGAAAAUUCAAAAAUCUAAUCUUUUAAUUUUCUGUUUUCGUUUCAGAUCUAAUUGUUUAGGGUUUUCGUAGGAGUUUCUCGUGACUUGGCAACUCGAUCUUGGUCUGCGCGCAACCCCGUAUCACUAGCACUCCAUGCAAUCUGACAAUUUCAAACAUAUACAACUCAGUUAAUCGGUCAAGUGAAAAGCCUGUACGUACUAGAAUAAAGUGUACAGAUUUUGUCAAACGAUCAAAAAUAACCCAGAUAGCAUCUUUCAUUUUUAGAGAUAAGGGUAAUCCUGAUAUGAAAUCCAUUGUAACUCUAUCCCACUUCCACUCAAGUAUCAUCACUGGCUGUAACAGUCCCGAAGGUACUUGAUGUUCAACUUUAACUUAUUAACAAAUCAAACAUCUAGACACAAAGUCAGAAAUAUCUCGUUUCAUACCUACUACUAGUACAACUGUUGAUACGAGCUCGUUUCGGAGGUAAAGACGAGUCGUAAUCUUUCCCGAUCGAAAUUAGGUAGUGUCGGAAUUGAAUCAAAUUCAAGUCUUGGUGUUUGAAGUUAGAUGGCUUUAGGAACAAAGGAGUUUGAUGGGUUGUUGUUUGCUGGGUAAUUCGAUGAAACAAGAUCGAACCCUUAUUAUCAAAUAAGGACCCGGGCUUAAGGUUUCAAAGAAAGAAAUGGAAAUAGGAUAAAAACCGAGACCCUCUAUUUAGCAAAAUAGGAACCUACGGUAUGAAGAACGCCACACCAAUGGGUGAUAAGUUCGAACAAAGUCAGAUUGACGCCACUCGUUGAAGAUAAGUCAAUUUGAGCUUUGGAGAAUAAAGAGAGUGAAUUUCUCACUAAAAUUAUAUUUCAUUCAGAAAUUUGGCAAAAAGUCCUUUUACAAGAAAUUCAAGAACUAUUUAUAGCUUAAGUGACUAGUAGCCGAAUAGUCAAGUUCAAUACUUAAAAACUAAGUAAACAUUGAACUAAUUUUGAGCUAAGAUCCAUGAAUGGUCUUGAAUCAAUGUUCGGCUGAAUAUAGACCAAGGAAGAGCUUCAACGAACUUGGAAAAUUGGCAGCAGCUACAUUCGGCCAAUGGAGUUUAAUAAGGUCAAUAAUGAAGCAACUCUUGCUGAAAAAUUACCAUCAUUAAUUAGCAACUUGAACAGUCAUUUGGAAGUGUGAAUGGUCGGUUUUGAAUGACCAUAAGGUGUGAACAUCAUGAACCGAAUAGCCACAAUGUACCCAGCAAUGUGAAGGAAAUAAAUGGUAGCUUUGGAGAAUGGAAAAUCAUCUCUUUUGGCUGAAUGGUCACUUAGAGAACUUCAACAAUCAGCACACCAUCUUUAAUAUAGUCCAUGCAUGUAUCAUUUGGUGCAUUGAACCCAACAUGCAUGCAUCUUCACAUCCAUUGAAUCUUCAUGCAUGAAUCUGCCCAAUGAAUCUUCAAAUUCGGCUGUACCUAAAAACACACAUGAACUUAAUUAAUUUCAAUCAAAUUAAGCUGAACUAAGUAAAUACAUAAUGUGAACAUCCUAAUUUAACAUUGAAACAACUUAAAUAUUAAUAAAGCAUGACACAAAUUCGGUUGAACAGAUUUAAGACAUGUAAUAAUUUAGACAAACUAAAUGAAAUCAAGACAUCUUUAAUGUAACUAAAUUAAGACAUAUUAAACACUUAUAUUAAAUAAAAACAUAUUAAUAAGCUGUAAUAAGACUUAAUUAAAUGCUUAUUUAAAUGGUUUAAAAUCCAGCAGCAAUUUAAUUAGCUAGAACGAAUUUCAACUUCAAAGAAGUUGAAAAUAUUCAGCUUGUCUUUAAGCUCUUUGCUUUCAUUUUCCUCAAUCCGUUCCACCAAUGCUAAAAUAGCAUCUUUAAAUCGUUUAGCUCUAGCUCGCGUUAUCGGACCAAUGGGCAGCUUAAUAGCUUCUUGUUCGUUCUCCCUUUGGUUCGUAGGCAAGCUCACAUCAUUCCCCUCCUCUUCAGAACGAUUUGUCCUCAAAUCGGAAUCUGCAUCAAACGGAGACAAAUCAGAAACGUUAAAAGUCGCGCUAACAUUAUAUUCACCAGGCAAGUCCAAUUUAUAAGAAUUGUCAUUAAUUCGUUCAAGGACUUGAAACGGUCCAUCCCCUCUCGGAAGUAGUUUAGAUCGUCGUUGCAUAGGAAAUCUUUCCUUGCGCAUAUGCAACCACACCCAAUCUCCCGGCUCGAACACAACUCGUUUACGACCUUUGUUAGCAUGUUGUUCAUAGUUCUUGGUCCUUGCCUCAAUGUUUUCUCGAACUCGUUGGUGCAAUUGCUUGACGAAAUCAGCUUUACGCUUUCCAUCUACAUGCAAAAAUUGGUUAGAAGGCAAUGGCAUUAAAUCAAAUGGUGUUAACGGAUUGAAACCAUAAACGAUUUCAAAAGGAGAAAAUUUGGUAGCUGAGUGAAUAGCUCGAUUAUACGCAAACUCCACAUGUGGUAAACAUUCUUCCCAAGCCUUCAAAUUUUUCCGGAUGAUAGCUCGAAGCAAUGUAGACAAAAUCCGAUUGACCACUUCAGUUUGGCCGUCCGUUUGCGGAUGGCAAGUGGUUGAAAACAGCAACUUCGUUCCAAGGUGCCCCCAUAGUGUCCUCCAAAAAUGGCUAAGAAACUUCGCGUCUCGGUCGGACACAAUCGUCCUAGGCAUGCCAUGCAACCUGACCACUUCUUUGAAAAAUAAAUUAGCAAUAUUCACGGCAUCAUCAGUUUUAUGACAUGCUAUAAAAUGAGCCAUUUUUGAGAACCUAUCUACAACCACAAAUAUUGAAUCUCGGCCAUUUUUACUCCUCGGUAAACCUAGCACGAAAUCCAUUGAGAUAUCAGACCAAGGGGUUUCGGGAAUAGGCAAUGGCUUAUACAAACCAUGGGGCUUAAUUCGUGACUUAGCCCGUUUGCAUGCAAUGCAUCGAUUACAAAAUCGUUCGACAUCUCGUCGCAUCUUAGGCCAAAAGAAAUGUUCGUUCAGCAUGGCUAACGUCUUUGCAACUCCGAAGUGCCCCAUUAAUCCUCCACUAUGAGAUUCUUCGAUCAACACUUCUCGUACGGAACCUUGGGGUAUACAAAGCUUUCCUUCUCGGAACAAGUACCCAUCAUGUCGAUAGUACUUCUCGUAAGCUCCCUUUGCGCAUAACCUAAAGAAUUCACUAAAGUCAGCAUCGUUGACAUAUAAAUCUUUAAGAAAUACAAACCCCAUUAACUUAGCAUCCAAAAUAUUUAACAACGCAUACCUUCGAGAUAGUGCAUCAGCCACUACGUUUUCCUUACCUUUUUUAUAUUUAAUAACAUAUGGAAAAGAUUCGAGAAAUUCUACCCACUUAACAUGCCGCUUAUUCAACUUGUGUUGUCCCUUUAAGUACUUCAAGGAUUCGUGAUCGGUAUGUAUGACGAAUUCUUUGGGCCAAAGAUAGUGUUGCCACGUCUCUAAGGCUCGAAUCAACGAAUAGAGCUCCUUGUCAUAAGUCGGAUAGUUUAAUACGGCACCAUUGAGUUUCUCGCUAAAAUAGGCAAUAGGCCGUCCAUCUUGCAUCAACACGGCUCCAAUGCCUAAACCUGAGGCAUCACAUUCUAACUCGAAGGUUUUAUCAAAAUUAGGCAAAGCUAAUAACGGUGCAUGAGUUAGACAAUCUUUAAUUUUCAAAAAGGAUUUUUCUUGUUCCUCUCCCCAAACGAAGUUGGAAUUCUUACGAAUAACUCCAGUCAAGGGUGCGGCUAAGGUGCUGAAGUUUGGCACGAAUCGACGGUAAAAACUUGCUAAUCCAUGGAAACUUCGGACUUGGGAGACAUUCGUCGGACGGGGCCAUUCUUGGAUCGCCUUGACCUUCUCUUGAUCGACUUCAAGGCCCUCCGAACUAACAACGAAACCUAAAAACACAACCUUGUUAGUGCAAAAUUCACAUUUCUUUAAAUUAGCAUACAAAGUUUCUUUCCUCAAUACUUCCAAAACAGCCUUCAAAUGUAAAACAUGAUCAUCUAAAUUUUUACUAUAAACUAAUAUAUCAUCGAAGUAUACGACGUAAAGUCUACCAAUAAAAGGUCUUAGAACGUGAUUCAUAAGCCUCAUGAACAUGCUUGGGGCGUUCGUUAAGCCAAAUGGCAUAACGAGCCAUUCGUAAAGCCCAUGCUUCGUUUUAAACGCAGUCUUCCAUUCAUCACCCUCACGCAUCCGUAUUUGGUGAUAACCACUCUUAAGAUCAAUUUUUGAAAACAGACUUGCGCCACUUAGCUCGUCAAGCAUAUCAUCCAAUCGUGGUAUAGGAUGACGAUACUUGAUAGUUAUCUUGUUUAUAGCACGGCAGUCCACGCACAUCCUCCACGUUCCAUCCUUUUUCGGGACAAGCAAAAUAGGCACGGCGCAUGGACUAAGGCUUUCGCGCACAUAGCCCUUUUCAAGGAGUUCAUUUACUUGCUUUUUUAAUUCUUUCGUCUCUUCAGGAUUGCUCCGGUAAGCAGGUCGGUUUGGAAUCGCGGCUCCCGGCACAAGAUCUAUUUGGUGUUCGAUUCCACGAAUAGGUGGUAACCCACUCAGGAUUUCUUCUGGGAAUACGUCUCGAAAUUCCUGCAACACAGACAAAAUAGAAGAGGGCAACUUAUCAUCAAAUUCGUUAGUGCCAAGCAAGCUCUCCUUGUACAAAAGAACCAAUAAUGGUUGUUUCAAUAACAUCGAUUUUUGAACUUCUCUCUCUUUUACAAACAAAUUCUUUUUUUCAUUUUCAUCACUCGUUUCUUUUUCUUUUGAAUCACUCUCUCUUUUUUUAUCACUCAUCUUUUUGUUUUUCUUCUUUUCUUCACUCUUUUCUUUAUUCUUUUCAUUUUUUUGCUCUAUCUCGAUUUCUUUUGAUUUUUCAAUCGAACUCCUCAUUUUGAGUUGAUCUUCAUACACUUGUUUCGGUGAUAAUGGAGCUAACGUCACCAUUCGUCCCAUGUGUUUGAAAGAGUAUCGGUUUGUAUAUCCGUCAUGAAUCGCUCGCUUGUCGAAUUGCCAAGGCCGCCCCAAAAGAAGAUGCCCCGCAUGCAUUGGUACGACGUCACACAUAACUUCAUCUUGAUACUUCCCAAUUGUAAACGAAAUCAACACUUGCUUCGUUACCUUCAAUUCUCCACCAUCGUUAAGCCAUUGGAGUUUAUACGGAUGGGGAUGUUUAAUGGUGGCCAAUCCGAGUUUCUCCACCAUCAUUGAACUUGCCACAUUUGUACAACUUCCCCCAUCAAUUAUAACGCAACAAAUCUUACCUUGCACUUGACAUCGCGUAUGAAAAAUGUUUUCGCGUUGUUGAUCGUUUUCGGCACCUUGCAAAGUAAGGCUUCUCUUCACCACCAAUAUUUCUCCAUUUUCGGCUUGUUCAACAUCUUCUUCAUCUUCGGUUUGUUCAAUGGCCUCCUUCUCUUGUUCACUUUCAGAUUCAAUCUCGCCAUCGUCUCGAACAAACAUCACAUUCCGAUUUGGACAUUGGCUCGCGAUGUGGCCCCUUCCAAGGUAUUUGAAACAUUUUAUGUCUCGAGAUCGACUUGGUUGGGCUUCCAUCUUUCCUUUACUCGUUUCGGCAAUCGGUUUGUUGAACUUGGUGGCACCACUUACUUCUUUGUUUCGGCUUGGUAUGUCACGUUUGUUGGUCCCUUGCCCCCACCUAGGCAUAAAGAAGUGUUAGAGAAAGUUCGUGACGUACCUUUUCUUUUUAGUUGUUUUUCGACCUUUAUGGCCAUAUGGACCAUAUCAAUAACCUCAACAUAGUGGUGUAGUUCGACGAUAUUUGCGAUAUCUCGGUUAAGGCCGGCGAGAAAUCGAGCCAUGGUGGCUUCUCGAUCUUCCUCCACAUCGGCGCGGAUCAUGGCCACUUCCAUUUCUUUGUAAUAAUCCUCCACGCUUCGUUGGCCUUGAGUUAAGCUUUGGAGCUUUUGAUACAACUCCCGGUGAUAGUAAGCAAGAAUAAAACGCUUUCUCAUUAUUGCUUUCAUUUCCACCCAUGUAGACACGGGACGUUCUCCAUUGCGUCUUCGGCUCAACGUGAGUUGAUCCCACCAUAUUAUGGCAUAGUCGGAGAAUUCUAUAGCAGCUAACUUCACCUUUUUGCUUUCCGAGUAAUUGUGGCACUCGAAAACUAAUUCCACCUUCUUCUCCCAUUCAAGAUAGGCCUCGGGAUCCGAUCUUCCUUGAAAAGCAGGAAUCGCCAUUUUAAUAUUCUUUAAAUCAUCAUCGGGCCUCUCUCGAUCUCUUUGUUCUCGUGCUCGAUGACCUCGUCUCCUUGCACUUUGUCGUGAACCUCGAUCACUUUCAUCGUCACUUUGUUCAUAUAGAUCAUUUGCAUGUUGCCAUGGACGUUCUCGCUCUCUUCUCGGAAUAGGAAGGGUGUUCGCAUGUUGGCUUUGUUCCUCCAUUUGUUCCAUUCGUUCAUUGAGAGAAUCGAAUUGAGGUUGGAACAGACGAGAGAUUUCUCGUACGAUUGCUUGGACUUGGAGAUCGGGCACUCCAACUCCGGGAACAUUUCUCCUCGGUUGAAGGUUUACUCCUCCACCAGCAGCAUUCGAAGCUCCUCCACUUGUUGCUCGACGAUCCGGACUCCUAGACAUGUUUAAAAUAAGAACAAAAUAUUUCCUCACCACAAAAACCUCACAAAUUCGCUCACAAGAAAAGAAUUCACUCCUCUCGUGUUUCACUCUAUUUUCGGCUUUUAUCUUGAUGUACUCUCUUGCCUUUUACCUCUCAAAUCCAACUCUCGAUAUUCUAAAAAGCUACCUUAGACUUAUCCCACUUGUGGGUCGGCUUCAAAGGCUAAACAAAGGAAAAUCGUAUGGUUUAGGGUAGGCUCGAAAGAAAGAAAGGUUUAAAGAUGUGGCGUAUAAAAUGAAUUCACGAAUUGAAAAUUUUUUUUUAAUAGUGUGAAAUUUCACUCAAAGGGGUAUAAAAGGGUGUAUAAUAUGAUUUCGGAAAAAUUUUUGUUGAAGUGUUUCCAGACUUUUUUUUUCGUACGCACCUAGACCGUAUGCAAUUUUUUUUUUUUGCAAAUUUUUUUUUCUUUUUUUUUUCAGAUUUUUUUUUUCGAAACUUUUUUUUUUAACUUUUUUUUUGAAGCUACGAUUUACGUACCUAAUUUAACUAGCUCUGAUACCAACUGAUACGAGCUCGUUUCGGAGGUAAAGACGAGUCGUAAUCUUUCCCGAUCGAAAUUAGGUAGUGUCGGAAUUGAAUCAAAUUCAAGUCUUGGUGAUACGAGUCACAAACGCCCAAAUUCUUGAAGGCGAGGCCCAAUAAGCAAAUUCCCAGCCCAAUCAAGAAAUCCAUCCAUACUUAGUUGAAAAUCAGGCCAAAUUGUCAAAGUGGCCCAAGUUGUAAAGUUUUAUUUUUAUUUUUAUUUAUUUAUUUAUUUAUUUACUUAGUUUAUAUUUUUAUGUCAAUAUUCAGUCCAAGAGUCCCAGAUAAAAUGACCUUUGACCAAAUUUCCAUAUUAAAAUAAUUAGGAGUUUUUUUUAUUUUAGUUUUCUAAUUAGAUUAGGACUAGUUAUAAGGCCUAUUUAAAGGCAUGGCUGUCCACCUUGUUAAACACUCAUCAUUAUUAUUAAAAUUUCAGAUUUGUUGAGAGCAGAAUUUUCUUUGAGUUUUCUCCAAGAUUUUUCUCUUGAGUAUUCUUUAGAAGUUGUUUUAACAAUCUUGUGAUUGUGGGAGCCAUCUUCAACCUUCUUCUUGCCAUUGAUAUUCUUUGGAGGGGAGAUUAGAGCCGUUUGAAGGGAGUUGUGAGAUCUUUCGGGAUUUCAAGGCUUCUUAGGACUUAUCUUUUAAUUUCUUAUUGUCAAUUCUUUCUUUAUUUCUGCUUGUGCCGAAUCUUUAUCUAAUUUAUUUUCUGUUCUUAUUGUGUUUUCAGCCUUUUUCUAUCUUAAGGAAUUAGCCCAAAAAUCCUCAAUUUCUAGGGUUCUUGCUGAUUCAUCCAUACUCUUUUUGGGAGAAAUUAGAUUGCCGAAAUUUGGGGAAAACUAUCUGGGUGUUCAAUUGGGCAGAAUCGCAAUCUCUUCUAGGGUUUCAAGAUUCCUUAUUAACACUUAUUUCUAUUCUCUAUUUGAUUCUUUACUGUUUUGGGGAUUUUAUUUCAGAUCUGAAAAUUUAAAAAUCUAAUCUUUUAAUUUUCUGUUUCGUUUCAGAUCUAAUUGUUUAGGGUUUUCGUAGGAGUUUCUCGUGACUUGGCAACUCGAUCUUGGUCCGCGCGCAACCCCGUAUCAUUUGGUAUCAGAUUUUGGGCGUUUUGGGUGUUCUUGGUUGAUUUCUAAACUGAUCUCUAUUUUUUAAAUUACAAACAGCAGUUUUACCCAGAAAAAUUUUUGAAAAAAAAUUCAUUUGAGUGGGUAAACGUUUUCUGAUUGAUCUGAAAUUUUACAUACAUAUUUUUGGCAUUGUUAUUGAAUAUACAAAAAUAUUUCCCGCAAAAAAAAAGUCGAAAAAGUCAAAAAAUUGAAAAAAGACGAAAUCCAAUAAAAAAUUAAAAAAAUAUUCAGCAGGUUGAAUUUGGUGCCCAAAUUUUCCAGAUCAAAAAUUAAAUAUUUGACGACAUUCCAGAUUUAAUUUUGUGAUUUUUUGAGAUCGGGAACACCUCGAACUAAGUUGUCAAGUUACUCCGCAGUUUUUCGGGUUUUCUGUUUUCAACAAUUUUUAUUGAUUCUUAGCUGUAGGUUUUCAUUUGUUUGCUUUUUAUUCUCCCUUUACAAUAUCUAACACCUUCUUGUUUUUUGUGUUAGUAGGAUUUAAACGUGUGCCCAAUUCUUCCUCGGUGCAACACGAAUCAAUUGGUGUCUCGUCAGUUUUUGGCAUCCUAGUGCAAAUUAGGAUUCUUUGGUAGUUUGGUUCACACUCUCUAAUUGGUUGAUAUAAACUCUGAUAAAGAACUCACAAGAUUGAAUUCGACCUCAUUGAGAAUUUGAUUUUUCUUUUUGAGUGAUUAAUGGUGAGGUUUGCUAACUUUUAUUUUUGAGUGUUGAGUGUUUAUUUUUUACAGGUUUUGAAGAUGUCUAAAGGUCAUAAUAAUGAUGCACUUAUGAAAGUCCAACAACAGUUAGAUAGACAUACUGUUGCAAUCACACAAAUAAAUGCUACACUUCAAGCAUUGAAUACUACUUUGAAUGAGGUACGAGUGAAUCAAAAACAUCAAUAUCGAGAUCCAAUUAAGGAAGAUAGGGAUAACCAGCCCCAUAGGUGCAACCUUCAACGUGUCCCUAGAAUGGAUGAUGAUAGUCAUGAUCAUGGACAAUCAUCUUUGGCAAAACCAAAGAGCGAGCAGCAAUGAGAACAUCUCUUUCAUACUCGCUGCCACGUACAAGGUAAGCUUUGUUGAGUUAUUAUUGAUGGUGAAAGUUGCUCGAACAUAGCCAGCACGACGAUGGUGGAAAAGCUUUGCUUAACCACUACCAAGCAUCCACAACCUUAUCAACUACAAGGGCUUAGCAACGAAGGCCAAUUUAGGGUCACUCAACAAGUGCGCAUCGCCUUUUCUAUCGGUAAGUAUCAAGACGAAGUUGUGUGCGACGUAAUGCCUAUUCAAGCCUGCCAUUUAUUGCUAGGAGAACCGUGGCAACUGGAUCGAAAAGUCACUCACGAUGGUCGUACCAAUAGGUAUUCUUUCAAGCAUCAAGGAAAGAAACUCACCUUAGUGCCGCUCACUCUGGAACAAGUCUAUGAGGACCAAAUCAAACUGAAAAAUUCUGUUAAAACAAGUGAGGAAAAAGAAAAAGAGAAUGAAAAAGAGCAAAAAGAGAUUGAGAGUGAAAAAGAAAUUGAAGAAAGAAGAGAAAAUGAAUUAGAAAAAGAAACAAAAGAAAAAGACGUGAAAAGGGUAGUGAGGAAUGUUUCCACUAACCAAGAUAUGAAUUUUUCUUAUGUUGCUACUUUUCAGGUUCCCGAAAGAUCGAAAGAUAACUUUCAACUUCAAUACCUCUCAAAUGAAAGACGCUUUCAUACGAUCAACUUAAGGAAAGAUGAAAUCACACUACAUGAUCCCGAAGGUAAGCGAGGUAAGGAAAUUUUAGAAACCGAGUCCAGUGCAGAUUUGAAAAUUAUUGAUAAAACUUUUGGUGACUUAGUUCUUAAAAGAUCCCCUCAUUUUGAUCCGAUUAAUUGUUACUCUUCGAUUGUGGUUGAUAAAGUCAUUACGAAAAGAAGCGUGAUUUGUUAUUCUCUUGAUUUACCUUGUGUAAAAUCCUUGAAUUUGUCCAAAUCUGUUUUGGAGAAUAAGGUAACGAAAUUUUCCAAAUUUGUUUUCAAUUUAUAUUCGUGCCUUAAACAGUUUAUGUGGUUGUACAUGAAGUUUGAGUUCCAUUUGACAAACGUUAACUCAACAACGAAGAUUCGACUACACUAUGCCCCCGAUGAGCGAAGGUUUGUUUUAAAUGAAAAAGGUAAAAUCGACCCUUAUUCUUCUGCUUAUCGAGGUAAGAUGCUUGAAACCUUUGAAACACUUUUGUACUCCUCGGAUAGUGAUAAAGAUCGUGUUGAUGAACACUUAGAUCGAAACGUGCUUGACUGUCCUAUUUUAUUUAUUGAUGAUCUAUCUGUUUUGAUGGUUGAUAAAAAGAUUCUUGUUUUUGAUAAUGCAUGUGUGAGUGAAUCUAUAGACCGUCGAUUAAUGCAUGGUAUGAUUAUGCAACUCUGUGAACCAUGUGAAUCUUUUCAAAUACCUACUUGUGACGAUUAUGUUUACCAUUUGAUUUAUUACUCGCAAUUUAUUCAUGGUUUGUGGGAACAAUGUGAGACGACUGAAUGCCUUAAAACAUGUCCAUCUUUGUUUCAAAUAUUUGACGAGGCAGUGGUGAGUAAAUUAGAUUGUUUGCAUGGUAAUCUGAAUCUGUCUAUUCACAUGCGUUAUACCUGUUCUAUUAUGCUUAUGAUUGGACUACAAGCUUAUUUCCGUUGCUAUUUACUAUCUCAUGGCUAUUCUUCUCAGUGGACUCAAUUGCCAUUAGUCCCGUUCGAUAGAGGAAAGUCGAGUUCAUUUGAUUUUUCAGAUUCGAGGACGAAUCUUUUUGAGGAAGGG